rnacentral:rRNA from 1 species
UACGUAGGGGGCAAGCGUUGUCCGGAAUCAUUGGGCGUAAAGCGUGUGUAGGCGGGCCCGUAAGUGUCUUGUGAAAUCCCACGGCUCAACCGUGGAACUGCUGGGCAUACUGCGGGUCUUGGGCCAACUAGGGGCAGCCGGAACAAGCGGUGGAGCGGUGAAAUGCGUAGAUAUCGCUUGGAACGCCGAAGGUGAAAACAGGCUGCUGGGGUUGCGCCGACGCUGAGACACGAAAGCCAGGGGAGCAAACGGG